UACGUAGGGGCAAGCGUUGUCCGGAAUCAUUGGGCGUAAAGAGCGUGUAGGCGGCUUCGUCAGUCCGUUGUGAAAGUCCAGGGCUCAACCCUGGAAUGCCGAUGGAUACUGCGGAGCUAGAGUCCGGAAGAGGCGAGUGGAAUUUCUGGUGUAGCGGUGAAAUGCGCAGAUAUCAGGAGGAACACCUAUGGCGAAGGCAGCUCGCUGGGACGGCACUGACGCUGAGACGCGAAAGCUAGGGGAGCAAACAGG
rnacentral:rRNA from 1 species